GUGUGUGUGAGUAUUCUUUUUUAAGUGGCGAGCUGAAUAUUUUAAACAAACACUGCUUAAAAUCUAUAAUUUAUGGGCGAAGCUUCAGAAGAGGAGAUCAAUCACUGCCUGGUGCUCAGGGUGGCUCUCCAUCUGCACAGCCUCCCCUGCUCUGUUCCCAGUCAACCAGCGAGGCAGAAGGGAUUAGCCUCGGGCUCGAGCAGCGCCCAGACAAUCCCCACCUCCGAAGGGAGAAAGCCACAUUGCCUUCCCUUGCUGGCAGGAGCAUCGCUGAGCCCUCUGCCAAGCACAUCCUCUGGGGAACUGGACCAGGAUGGGAGCUGAAAGGCGCUGGUGGUCAAUGGGAGGAUGCAGGACCAUCUUUUAUUCAUGGCCGAGCGGCGCACACGCCGCUGCUUGCCGCCUUCUUGGGAUGCUGGCAUUAAUAUUUCAUCCUGGAGCCAGCUCGUGCUGAAGAGCUCAUGUCCCAGAGCAGGGAAAAUGGGAGCUGCGUUUCCAUUGCCAGAGGAGCAGCUCAGAGCUUUGGCUGCACCCCAGGAGGAAAGCAGGCUGCUGAAGGAGCACGCCCCGGCUGUACCUGCUGGAGGAGCAGCAGAAAUGAAGGAGAGAAGCUCUCCUCCUGCUGCUUCAUGCCGCUCUGCUCCUAUGCAUGCACCCCCAGGUGUUUCUCUGCUCUGCAGAGCUCCAAGGCCAGCAGCAGCUCCUGAACCCACAGCCCCAGAGCGGUGCUGGUUCUGCACGAGGGCAGGCACAGCUCAGAGCUCGGGUGCUGCUUUGUUUUGCUGAAUGGCA
ensembl:lncRNA